CGAUAAGCCAUUGGAGGGCAAGUCUGGUGCCAGCAGCCGCGGUAAUUCCAGCUCCAAUAGCGUAUAUUAACGUUGUUGCAGUUAAAAAGCUCGUAGUUGAAGUGAGGGAGUGUGUGUUGUGAUCGAAUCGAUCGAGAGCAGUACAACCUCCCCCUUCCAAUGGGUGUAUUGGGGUAUUCAUUUACUUCAUUACUCCUUUGGUCGUUUACUGUGAGAAAAUUAGAGUGUUCAAAGCGGGCGUUUGUUUGAAUAGAUUAGCAUGGAAUAAUGAUUGAAGGCUUUCGUGUUCGAUUUGAUUGGUUUGUUCAUGGAAGCAAGGUUAAAAGGAACAGUUGGGGGUAUUCAUAUUCACUAGUUAGAGGUGAAAUUCUCGGAUUUAUGGAAGAUGAACAAUGGCGAAAGCAA
rnacentral:rRNA from 1 species